rnacentral:rRNA from 1 species
CGCGUAGGCGGUUAAAUAAGUCAGAUGUGAAAGCCCCGGGCUCAACCUGGGAACUGCAUUUGAAACUGUUUAGCUAGAGUGUGGUAGAGGAGAGUGGAAUUUCAGGUGUAGCGGUGAAAUGCGUAGAUAUCUGAAGGAACAUCAGUGGCGAAGGCGGCUCUCUGGACCAACACUGACGCUGAGGUGCGAAAGCGUGGGGAGCAAACA